GUCCACGCCCUAAACUAUGUCAACUGGUUGUUGGGGUUUGACACUCUCAGUAACGAAGCUAACGCGUGAAGUUGACCGCCUGGGGAGUACGGCCGCAAGGUUAAAACUCAAAGGAAUUGACGGGGACCCGCACAAGCGGUGGAUUAUGUGGAUUAAUUCGAUGCAACGCGAAAACCUUACCUACCCUUGACAUGUCCUGAAGCCUGGAGAGAUCCGGGUGUGCCCGAAAGGGAACGGGAACACAGGUGCUGCAUGGCUGUCGU
rnacentral:rRNA from 1 species